rnacentral:rRNA from 1 species
AUGGCUACUGCUGGGGUCGUCUGCCCCCAACUCCUCUCCACCGGAGCAGCCUCAACGCCCACCGCCACACCACCUCCACCUUCCCCUCCUCCCCAUCGUCUCCUCUCCUCCUUCCCCGUCUCAUGCGACGCUGACAUCGUCAAGUACGCCGCCGACGUCGUCCAUUGGUCGAGUCCGCAAUGCCUCUCCUGCCCACUCCUCAGAUUCAGCAGACCCACCGCCCACCACGUCUCCCUCCUCCCCCUAGCCCAUCUUCUCCGAGGACCGCGUCGGCAACCAUGGAUGCCUUAUUUUUUCCUACAUAUGUAUAUCACAUGCCUGAAGAAGAAGAUGACAAGUACAUCACCUUGGCUGGGAUAG